GGGGAAAUGUGCAGCUAACAGCAGCCCUCAAAGUCAUACAGAAAGCGAUCAAUAGUCAACAGGAGGCGGAAGUUCAAGACAAGAUGGACUUCGAUGAAGAAAUGAAAGAGUCCGAUGAAAUUGGGAAGGCUGAUGUGGGAGAUAGUGAAUUUCAUGAGCGAGAAAGUGAUGGAAUCAAUGCAAGGGAAUCCCAAAAAGCAAUUGACCAAGAAGAUGGCUCUAUGGAGAAAAAAGGCGAAAGCAUGCUAACAGGAGAAAAGGAGGCAUCUAAUGAAACAGG